rnacentral:rRNA from 1 species
GACGAACGCUGGCGGCGUGCUUAACACAUGCAAGUCGAGCGGUAAGGCCCUUUCGGGGGUACACGAGCGGCGAACGGGUGAGUAACACGUGGGUGACCUGCCCUUAGCUCUGGGAUAAGCCUGGGAAACUGGGUCUAAUACCGGAUAUGACUCCAUGACGCAUGUUGUGGGGUGGAAAGCCUUGUGCGGCUAGGGAUGGGCCCGCGGCCUAUCAGCUUGUUGGUGGGGUGANGGCCUACCAAGGCGACGACGGGUAGCCGGCCUGAGAGGGCGACCGGCCACACUGGGACUGAGACACGGCCCAGACUCCUACGGGAGGCAGCAGUGGGGAAUCUUGCGCAAUGGGCGAAAGCCUGACGCAGCGACGCCGCGUGGGGAUGA